ACCAGUUCCCAGGAGUUGUUCUAAGCAUAACUCUUGUUGCCAAUAUUGUGUUUCUUAAAGAACCAGCAACAGAGUAAGGGAGACGCACUUUUGAUACCUGUUGCUGUGGUUCCUAGCAGGCUCAGCUAUUCAGCAUCCUGUGCUGGGAAGUCCAUGUAUGUCACCUCACUGACCAGGGCUGUAAUCAGCUGAAAUAGGCAAUCAAGGGCCAGGGAGACCGCUCAGCAGGAAAACAUGCCUGCCACCAAGGCUGAUGACUUGAAUUGGAUCCCCAAAACCUACAUGGUAAAAGAGAACCAAACCAGGUAAGCCGUCCUCUGGCCUGCAUGUGCACUCCGUGGUCUGUGCACACCCGUCCCCAGCACACAUAAGAAGAAUCUGCGCCGGUAGUAGUGGC